UCCGCAAAUAAAGUUUUUAAAAUUAAUUGCAAACAAACACAAAAACAAACGAUUUCAUAUCUUCGCUUCCAAAAUGGGCGACAUUAGCCUGGCCUACUCCGAUUUCACCUGCUGUUCCUGCGUGGUAGAGGGAAUCGGAUUGCUCUUAGUUUUAGCUUUGCCGUC
rnacentral:sRNA from 12 species